rnacentral:rRNA from 1 species
UACGUAGGGUGCAAGCGUUGUCCGGAAUUAUUGGGCGUAAAGAGCUCGUAGGCGGUUUGUCGCGUCUGCUGUGAAAACUCGGGGCUUAACUCCGGGCCUGCAUUCGAUACGGGCAGACUAGAGUUCGGUAGGGGAGUCUGGAAUUCCUGGUGUAGCGGUGAAAUGCGCAGAUAUCAGGAGGAACACCGGUGGCGAAGGCGGGACUCUGGGCCGAUACUGACGCUGAGGAGCGAAAGCGUGGGGAGCAAACAGG